AGUGAACGCUGGCGGUAGGCCUAACACAUGCAAGUCGAACGGCAGCACAGUAAGAGCUUGCUCUUACGGGUGGCGAGUGGCGGACGGGUGAGGAAUACAUCGGAAUCUACUUUUUCGUGGGGGAUAACGUAGGGAAACUUACGCUAAUACCGCAUACGACCUACGGGUGAAAGCAGGGGAUCUUCGGACCUUGCGCGAUUGAAUGAGCCGAUGUCGGAUUAGCUAGUUGGCGGCGUAAAGGCCCACCAAGGCGACGAUCCGUAGCUGGUCUGAGAGGAUGAUCAGCCACACUGGAACUGAGACACGGUCCAGACUCCUACGGGAGGCAGCAGUGGGGAAUAUUGGACAAUGGGCGCAAGCCUGAUCCAGCCAUACCGCGUGAGUGAAGAAGGCCUUCGGGUUGUAAAGCCCUUUUGUUGGGAAAGAAAAGCAGCAGGUUAAUACCCCGCUGUUCUGACGGUACCCAAAGAAUAAGCACCGGCUAACUUCGUG
rnacentral:rRNA from 1 species